CCCUGCUGCUCUCCCUGUUGCUCUCUCCCUGUUGCUGCUCUCUCCCUGUUGCUGCUCUCUCCGUGAUUCCCGGGAAGCGAGGCCGUUACCCCGCGUCGCGCGUGGAUCGAUGCGGGGGAAUCGCCACAACGAUUCGCACCGAGAGAGUCGCCGACUGACAGGGGGAUGAACGUCGUGGCACGUGGUGACCAACAAGGUCUGCAUUGGCCUGUAAUAAGGGAACGGAGGAAGUUCAGGAAGAAGGCAGGACGAGAGAUGCCAAGGUGAAAUGGUGACAGGAAACUCACGUUUCAAGGCUUUUACGGAUUUGCCAAUGCUGUUGGCGCCCUUCUGGUGUGAAAUUAAAGGCGGCCCUGGUUGCAGUUCUCUACACUGGCUGCUGGAUGUCCCCGUGUGUGUCCUGGCCGAUGUCGAGUCCGUGUACUGCAGAGGUGGUGGCAAGAGACGCGGAGGAGACGUAAAGAAAACGCAGGUGUACUUCCAAAAGUAAAUUGUUUAAUGUUACGCCAAACUCGCACGCGCUUGAAGAUCACAGACAAUAAGAGCGAGGCAUAGUGGGCACAGGUUACACUUGUCAUCAACGAUACCUGAAAAUCCUCUACACUCCGUUGUUUGACCAUGUUGCUACAAGUAAAAUAAGUCUCACCGGGUCACACAUCCCUUCCACAAAAUCUCAUUCAUUUUCAGCUGUGGCUACAAUUGCUGCAGUCCACCUUGAAAGGUAUCAAACUGCAAUCUCCCUAGCAGAGACAGGGGACUGCUGUGAGGCUGCAGGCCACCAUCGGCUCCAUUUCCUCUUCCAUGAUGACGACGUGGAUGCUGUCAUUGGUGCUGCCACAUUGAUCGGGGAAUUCUUCAGACGUGCGCGUUACCACACUGUCACCCACCGACUCCACUCCCUAAUCCGACUCCAAUCCCCAAUCCGAAUCCCUCUCGCUCGCAGGAAAUGAGCCUGCAGUAUUCUGAUUGCUCCAAGCGGAAUCUGGAUUCUGCUCGCCUCCACCAGGGACUCUGCAAUCUGCCUGGCUGAGACGGGACCGUCGAGAGGCUGCAGGCCACCAUCGGCGCCAUGUCCACGGCCGGGCAAAGCGGGAUGUUAGUUCGUGAUGUCGCAGCCAUGGUGCUGCCCUGCACCCAUGGUUGGUUGAGGGCCCUCUGUGACUGUAAGGCAGCGUUCGGGAUCCCACCUGCCAAGAGACGGAGGGAAUUAGGGCCCAUUGCAUUCUAAAAUUGCUUUUUUCAUGGGCUGGUGAUGAGAUGUGCAGUUUCAUCACCAACACUAUUUUCAACGAAAAUAUUUAUUUUAAGAAUCUACAAGACGAAGAAAUCAUGCCCUGGCGUGACACAACACUUUGCAGUCCCAGCCCAAACUAAAUGUGAGAUCUAUUAACUUUUCAAGUAAAUGUUGAUGGGAGAUGCAAAGUGAUUUAUCUUUCUCUAUAUAUAAAAAAAGUCAAAAAUAGUUUGUGGCUGUGUGUGUGUUCACGCGCUUGCGAAGGAUUUGGCUCUCCAAUGGUGGAGUUUACGUUAAAUAUAAAUAGCCAGGUACCACGCCGUAAGCCGCGCCGUGAGCACGCGCUAUUCCUUUUUCACAUCCGUCAACUUUUAUUUAGUUUAAUUAGCCAUUUUGUGCAGUAUUUAUUUAUUAAAUGGCGCGCGAUCGACCACACCAACUCACACGUGUUCGGUGGGGGGGAAGGACUCGACAAAAGUCACGCAUUCGGUGGGGGUGUCGACACUGCGCGAGGUAACACGAAAUCACAGCUCCCUUCAAGCAUAAUCUAUCUUUUUUCUCUCAUUUCUAUUACUAUUUUUUCAUAAUACAGCGUACACAUUAACCAAUGUUUUAUGACAGUAUACAUAUUUACACAAUAUAACACGCUUUUUCCCCUGCGUACCGUUGUUACAUUUAAUGUCCUUAAGACAACAAAGUCCAGCCAAUGUGUCUUUUUGCCCACAAACUUUCCUGUUGUGAGCAGGACUUUACGUCACAAACUAUUAUUACUUUGUUAACAUCCAUUUUUCACUGCCUCAAAGCUUCAACUCUAUGGCGACACGUUAAAACAUUUUCUUUAAGAACAAACAUGAGAGUACAGCUUAUAGGGGAGUCAAGUGCACACGUUUUUGCUGACAAGCUUCUUCAAAUCGGUGAAGAUACUUUCCCCACUCAGUCGGCAUCAAGUGAAAUUAGCUUUCCAGAGGAUUUUUGCGAGAUGGUUGCCAUCGGUUCCUGAACUGAUACAUAAACUUUAUCCAAACAUAUCGUCAAAUUGCAAAAAUCACGAGUGGCUGUGUGAACGAGCCAUCCUUGCUGAUAAAAAAUAUUCUGUCAAUGAAAUUAAUAAUCAAGAUUCAGGAUUGCUUCCGGGCACAGUUACCGAGUACAACUCAAUCGAUACGGUGGUGGAUGCCGACGAAGCCGUAAACUAUCCAACGGAAUUCCUAAACUCACUCGACCCCCCGGGAAUGCCACCACAUCACCUUCGACUGCGAGUUGGGUCACCCAUCAUGCUGCUUCGCAAUCUGGACCCACCUAGGCUAUGUAAUGGCACAAGGCUGUGCGUAAAAAAAUUGCUGCUCAACGUAAUUGAGGCGACAGUGUUGACCGGGAAGGGAAAGGAGAAGAUGUAUUCAUCCCCCGCAUUCCACUCAUUCCGACAGACAUGCCGCUCAGUUUCAAGCGCCUAGAUUUCCCGGUCAGGCUGCCAUACAGUAUCACGAUCAACAAGGCACAGGGCCAGUCAAUCAAGUGCACUAGUAUCAACUUGAAAUCUCCACGUUUCUCCCACGGGCAGUUAUAUGUGGCGUGUUCUAGAGUGGGUUCCCCGAAUCAGUUGUAUAUCUUUUCCAACUGGAAAAAUAAAAAAUGUUGUUUAUAAACGGGCCUUACAAUGAACAUGUACUUUGGUAAUAUUAAACUUUAGGUACAUAGUUAUUGGCACCGUCGGCAUCAUGUCACCCAUCAUGCUGCUCAGGAAUCGCCAUGUUCUCACGUACAGUUAUAAGUUUCAGAAUUAGUUUUUAAGAAGAACAAAAAGGUGUUGUGUAGUCUUUAUAACAAAACAUUUUUAAAUAAUCGAUUAAUGUAGUGCAUUUUUCUUUUCACCUUUCUUAUGGAGCCUUUCCGAAAAGCCUAAAGUUACCUUAAGGUAUUUCUAACAAAUAGUACCUAAGAGAAAAUGAAAUCCCGGGCAACGCCGGGUAUAUAAGCUAGUAUUUAAUCAUUUUUACGAGGUUAAAUGUAAACAAUAGUAACGGGUCUCUUACUGAGGGCACCCGCGGAGAAAAUGUAUGAAAUUUCUAUUGCGGGUUCCCGGAAUCUUCCUCAGAGAGAGGGUGCACGGGAUGAUCCGUUUGCCGUUGAUGAUGGGGUGCUUCUCUUCGUCUGGUUUUCGGAGAAACAAUAAGAGAGACUGAAUUAGUUCUGGUGAUAAGUUCAAUGCGGAGGUCCUUAACGUUUAAUUGCGAUGCUGCAAAAAUAAUUCCCUGUCGGCGUUCGACUCGGCCUAUCAUCCCUCCAGGGUCAAUAAAAUUGAUAACGGUUUGUGAGACAUUACCAGUAGUUGUGUGGAAAGCAUGGCUCCCAAAUUAUAAAAGUGAAAUUCCCACUCUCGACUCUGGGCCACCAGACGAAAUGAGGACCACCUGAUGUUAAUUUGAGCAAGGAGACACUUCAGAUAUUUUAAGUUAAAAUUGUUAUCACUAGAGAGGAUGGUACAUUGUUAUACAAGUAUAUAAGCUUAAUAGAUUCCUCACUUAAGGACCCACAGUUUGUGUGGAGGGCUGUUCUGUAUAACAUGGUUGUUUGUAUUAUGGUAGAACUGCACUGUGCCGAUUUAGAAUACAGUUCCAUCUGGCACACAUUUUGAAUCAUACUUGGUUCUGUUGAAAUUUAAAAAAUGUGAUGUCCAGAAUACCAUGUAAUGCACACGUCCUCUGUUAGACUGCAAAUCUCUAUGGGUUUUCCAAAUAUACACUGUGCUACCUAAACAUAACUGUUUUUGUUUAUUGUUUUCAUAUCUCGUUACUGGCAUGGUAAAUCAAGAUGUACUGGUAGUAUGUUGCCAAGACCGCUGUGACUUUUAAGCCCAAAUGAAGCACAGCAUCUCAUGUCAAAAUUACGCGGAGCAGUUUACAAGCCUUUGUAUUCGAGCACAGGGUACGAGACGCGCAGCUGCAUGGCCACGAUUCUCCACGCUGUGACAGCAGCAGCAGCUGCUGCUGCGACCCCCUCUUGUCCACUCACCAAAGGAGAUGACGUCGGUCAAGGCGUCGAUCAUGGCUUUCGGUGGGAGCCCCAAGAGCUGAAACCAAUAUCACAAGAGGGAUGAGUUUACUUGAAUGAGGUCCGUUGCUCGUGUGAACAAUGUGUACAUAAAUAAUAGAGGGGUUUUUUUGGGUUAGAUCGCGUAAAUAUAUAAAUGUGUCAUUAAACCAGCCACCACCCGACACAGCUAAUUAGUAAGGCUUGUCAGUAAACAGAACGUGCCAAUUCGUUACUAG